GGCUCGUUAUGCAAACCGGCAAAGCAGCCUGCCUUAGAAGCAGGUGUUUCAGGGUUCGACUCCCUGGCGAGCUAC
rnacentral:tRNA from 1 species